AUGACGGUGGCUGUUGUUAGGCGUGAUGCGCCUAUCUACUGCGUGGUGCAGAUCGUGAGAAGUUCACGGCGGACGGAGGCUCCGAGGAUGUGCGGCUACGAUGAAGUCAUGGUCAUGUUUGUUGUUGGCACCGGUCUCUUCACAGCGGAGGUGCAACAGUUGCGAAGGAGAUGCUACGUUUGUGGGUCGCCGUGUGUGGCUGAACAACGGAAUGCCAACAACGAUGUUUGA